rnacentral:rRNA from 1 species
UACGUAGGGGGCAAGCGUUGUCCGGAUUUAUUGGGCGUAAAGAGCGUGUAGGCGGCCAGGUAGGUCAGCUGUGAAACUCGAGGCUCAACCUCGAGACGUCGGUUGAAACCACCUGGCUAGAGUCCGGAAGAGGGAGAGUGGAAUUCCUGGUGUAGCGGUGAAUGACGCAGAUAUCAGGAAGAACACCCGUGGCGAAGGCGGCUCUCUGGGACGGUACUGACGCUGAGACGCGAAGCGUGGGGAGCGAACAGG